GACCCCGUAGCUCAGCUGGAUAGAGCAACAGCCUUCUAAGCUGUGGGUCGCAGGUUCGAAUCCUGCCGGGGUCGCCA
rnacentral:tRNA from 1 species